GCACUUCGUACCCGUUCUCGAAAAGAUAAAUAUGGUGGGUUACAGAAAGAAAAUUCUUCAUAAUAGCUUGAUGUUCAUCAUUCUUUUACAAACCGGAUUCACCAGAGCUGUAAAACAAGGGCGUUAUCAACGGGAGCUGCUAUUUGAUGGAGUUGUUCCAAAGAAUACCUCAUACUACUCUAAUGUCUUUGAGAGCUUAACCCACCUAGCCUGUGCCUGUAAAUGCUGCACAAACUAUCCAAUCUGUGUAGGAUAUUUGUAUAGUUCAAGCCUAAUGCGUUGCAGACUCCUCAGGAAAUUUUUGGGCGAAAGUGAAAGAGCAAACGACUACAAUGGGAGUGGAUGGGAAUACCGCAGCAUAGAAGUGAACAAUUUGGCUCUUCGCAAGGCGGUAAUUUCAAGUUCAAUUUCCCUAGUGGUAUCAAACACCACUCUUACGGCUUUUCCAAACGGACUAUGAGUAUCACCCUUGGCUAACUAUAAACUUAGGAGGACUGUCUAUCAUAAAAAAUGUAGUCCUCUACAACAGAAAAGACGAGCAUGGUCGUUGGCUGCACAAUGUGGAGAUAAGAGUCGGAAAUCCGUUCACUUGGUCGGAGAUGGAAUUAUGUGGCCUAUUCGUAGGACCGAGCCAAACUGGAAAAGUUCACACCAUAGAAUGCGGGACACUGCUUUAUGGAACGUACGUCACCGCAAAAAUGGUCGAGCUAAACUACAUAUCAGACGAUCUAGUUACUAGUGUAGGAAAAGAUAUUCUAGUGUUGGAAGAAAUUGUCGUCAAUGGACUUUUUGUCUAGAUGAAAUAUUAGACCCAAGCCUUUGUAUUCCUUUGCUUAAUUGCAGGAAAUAUAAUUUUCAAUGCAACAUUAUUAAGUAUAAGGACAACGAAAACCUUACCAUAAUCAUCCAGUAUAAGAAUAAGAAGGAAUCUGUAACAAUCUUCAUCUACAAGUUAACGCUCUACACUCGCCAUGUGUAUUUGUCAUUUGUUGUGAUAAAACUUGAGAACAAAAACGAAAAAUAAGAUAACUUUUAUGGUAGAUAUGUGAGUACACGUUUGUUAUCAUGGUUAUAUUUUCAUCAGGAGAAUUAAACAGAAAUAUUUCUAAUCCUUUACACAUGGUUUACAGCAUGGUUCUCAUAUUCCUUAUAAUAGCACAGUUUGGAUUUGCUAAACAGAUAUUACAUAUUAAAAUUUACUGAUGAAAUAAUUCAGUCGUGCGUUGGUCCUAAACUCAAUCUCUCAUUGCUUGCGUUAUGAUAUAUUUCAUUAUGCACGUCAUCAUCCACAUAAGAAAGAACAAAAUCACUAAUUUUAUGGAACAUGAUUAUCGUUGCUGUUUCGACAUUGACGGUAGAGUAAAACUUAUACGGUGCCAAUUUUGAUGCACCAGAAGCGCAUUUCAACAAAUAAAGUCUCUUCAGCUAUGCUCAAGCCGACAAUUUUGGAAAUCCGAAAUGUCAAUAAACUUUUAAGAGGUAAAAGGAAAAACAGAAUGUCGAAGACUGGUAGUGUAUUGAAUUCAAAUCUUUCACAAAAUGAAACGUUGAACACCUAUGCUGCAAAGAGGGAAAUUUCUAUCAUGAAAGGUGAAUAUAAUGAACAGCGAUCAAUAUCCUAUCUCCUGUAAGCAAUACAAAAUAGAGAGUUCGGCAAAAAUAUCCAAGUACCCGUCUUUACCCAACUCUUUGCAUUUCUUUUGUUUAUAAUACUUAUAGUUAUUUCGGAUUUCAAACAUUUCGGUUGAGCAUCACUGAAGAGACAUUAUUUGUCGAAAUUCGCAUCUGGUGCAUCAAAAUUGGUACCGUAUAAGUUUUACAUGAGACUGAUCACUGUUCGUUAUUUUCACC